UUUUGGCAGGGAUAGGAAAUUAACCCCAUCCCUGCCACCACCACCAAAUCACCACACAACAAUAUUUACAGGCAGGGCUCUGCCCUGCUACAUUUCCCCCCCCCCCCCCCCCCCCCCCCCCCCCCCCCCCCCCCCCCCCCCCCCCCCCCCCCCCCCCCCCCCCCCCCCCCCCCCCCCCCCCCCCCCCCCCCCCCCCCCCCCCCCCCCCCCCCCCCCCCCCCCCCCCCCCCCCCCCCCCCCCCCCCCCCCCCCCCCCCCCCCCCCCCCCCCCCCCCCCCCCCCCCCCCCCCCCCCCCCCCCCCCCCCCCCCCCCCCCCCCCCCCCCCCCCCCCCCCCCCCCCCCCCCCCCCCCCCCCCCCCCCCCCCCCCCCCCCCCCCCCCCCCCCCCCCCCCCCCCCCCCCCCCCCCCCCCCCCCCCCCCCCCCCCCCCCCCCCCCCCCCCCCCCCCCCCCCCCCCCCCCCCCCCCCCCCCCCCCCCCCCCCCCCCCCCCCCCCCCCCCCCCCCCCCCCCCCCCCCCCCCCCCCCCCCCCCCCCCCCCCCCCCCCCCCCCCCCCCCCCCCCCCCCCCCCCCCCCCCCCCCCCCCCCCCCCCCCCCCCCCCCCCCCCCCCCCCCCCCCCCCCCCCCCCCCCCCCCCCCCCCCCCCCCCCCCCCCCCCCCCCCCCCCCCCCCCCCCCCCCCCCCCCCCCCCCCCCCCCCCCCCCCCCCCCCCCCCCCCCCCCCCCCCCCCCCCCCCCCCCCCCCCCCCCCCCCCCCCCCCCCCCCCCCCCCCCCCCCCCCCCCCCCCCCCCCCCCCCCCCCCCCCCCCCCCCCCCCCCCCCCCCCCCCCCCCCCCCCCCCCCCCCCCCCCCCCCCCCCCCCCCCCCCCCCCCCCCCCCCCCCCCCCCCCCCCCCCCCCCCCCCCCCCCCCCCCCCCCCCCCCCCCCCCCCCCCCCCCCCCCCCCCCCCCCCCCCCCCCCCCCCCCCCCCCCCCCCCCCCCCCCCCCCCCCCCCCCCCCCCCCCCCCCCCCCCCCCCCCCCCCCCCCCCCCCCCCCCCCCCCCCCCCCCCCCCCCCCCCCCCCCCCCCCCCCCCCCCCCCCCCCCCCCCCCCCCCCCCCCCCCCCCCCCCCCCCCCCCCCCCCCCCCCCCCCCCCCCCCCCCCCCCCCCCCCCCCCCCCCCCCCCCCCCCCCCCCCCCCCCCCCCCCCCCCCCCCCCCCCCCCCCCCCCCCCCCCCCCCCCCCCCCCCCCCCCCCCCCCCCCCCCCCCCCCCCCCCCCCCCCCCCCCCCCCCCCCCCCCCCCCCCCCCCCCCAGGCAGAGGUGCGAGCCCAGGCGACUGUGGAGCGACGUCUGGCAACCAGGGGGAGCGGAGCAGGAGACCAGCGACCUCCUGUGCCUGGUGGUGCUGCGACC
rnacentral:lncRNA from 1 species